rnacentral:lncRNA from 1 species
CAGAGAGGCAUCAGAGACAACUCCAGGCUGUAACCUGAGCAUCUCAAAGGACCGAGUGCCACCUACUGAGCAGGGCAAGGGGAUCAGGCUGGGACUGGGGAGUUAGGGGCUCCAUUUGGGCUCAUUGAGCGUGAGGCGCCUACUGGACGUCUAAGGGGAGACGUCAAAGGAGCAGGCGCACGACGAGCCCGGCGUCCACGGAGCCGCGGGCCGCUGGGCAGACGCGGGAGCUGCCAGCCCGCGGGCGCGGUCGGCGAGGAGCCUCCGGGCUCGCCGCGCAGGGAGCAGGUGCCGGGACGGCGGUCCAGGGGCCCAGGAGAGAGCGUCCGGACCCGGACGAAGACCAGGGAGGGAGCAGGGCGCCGCGGGCGAGCCCAGCAGGUGGCGAGGGCGGGGUGCGCUGAGGCCCCAGCCCGCCGUCGCCGACUGCGCUCUCCCACCUGCGAAGACGAGCCUGCUCCUUCCUCUUCUCCUGCCCUGUUAGCAAGCCCGGGGGCCCUGGGGACGCGGGACAGGACUGCAGGCCCGCUCUACCCCCGCAGGCACUUUCCUCGUCGAGUUGAGACUGUCUCCCUCGGUGCAAAUAGGACUCGAGGGUCCCGCCUCGGAGGGAUCAACAAAAAAUGCUCUAAGGGACAUUAGCGCCAGGACUGGAGAGAUCUGAUAAGCCUGUGAUGACAUAGCAGCACCGCACCCGCGCUCCUGUUCCCGACUCUGAUACCCGGACGGGGUCACGAGGGAAGGACCCUGCCCCCAGGAAGCACCCGCUGAGCCAUCAUGGGAGGGAGCCUCAGGCCCGCCACGCACUCUCGCGGCGCUCCAGCUUGUGCAAUAAUAACAUGCACUUAGAGAGAGAGCAAAGUGACACCGCAAAUGUGGCAAAAUAUUCACAAUGGAGGGAUCCGACAGAAGCACAGGAAAGGGCGCCAUUGCCGCCGCUGCUCAGUGAGUUUGGAAUCCUUGCAAAGCAAGAGUCGUCUGGAAGACCUUAAAAAUGUCCGUAGUCUGUUCUCCGGGUUUGUUUGAACAUUGUUCACUGACAAUAACAUCGACGUGUUGCUAGAGUGUUAGAGCUUUUGACGAUUAAGUAAAGUAAGUGAAACUUAUGACCUGUAAGUCACAAGCUGUUCAAUAUUAAUUAUUAUAUUUGGUUGUCAUUCUAGUUAUUAAUACGAUUAUUGCACUUAUUAUUAUUAUUAUUGCUGUUGCUGCUAUUUCGAGUAGUUCUCGAGGUUCAGGGGUGUCCCCUGGGGCGCCAGCCGGCUCCGUCUCCAGCCCCCCCACCUGGCCCCCCGCGCGGGGCGCGCUCCGCGGCCGCAGCCCGCUCGCCGGCUCCGGCACUGCCCGGCUCUGCCCACCAGAGGGCGCGCGGGGCUCCUGCUUGGGCGCCGGCCGGGCGGAACCCAGCUCCACUCCCCCGUCCCUUCUUUUCCCUGCAGAGUUGGCUGUUGGCUCCAGAGCGACAUUGAAAAUGCAUAAAAUACAAUAAUUACUUCUAGAGACUGGAUCUGGGGAGAUGCAUUAAAUCUACCAGUGCGGACCACCUACUCCACGACACCGAGGGGG